CAGCAGCCGCGGGAAUACGAAGGGUGCAAGCGUUAAUCGGAAUUACUGGGCGUAAAGCGUGCGUAGGCGGUGAGUUAAGUCUGCUGUGAAAUCCCCGGGCUCAACCUGGGAAUGGCAGUGGAUACUGGCUCGCUAGAGUGUGUCAGAGGAUGGUGGAAUUCCCGGUGUAGCGGUGAAAUGCGUAGAGAUCGGGAGGAACAUCAGUGGCGAAGGCGACUAUCUGGGCCAACACUGACACUGAGGCACGAAAGCGUGGGGAGCAAACAGGAUUAGAUACCCGCGUAGUCCCUGUCUCUUAUAC
rnacentral:rRNA from 1 species